UGGGGAAUUUUGGACAAUGGGGGAAACCCUGAUCCAGCCAUCCCGCGUGUGCGAUGAAGGCCUUCGGGUUGUAAAGCACUUUUGGCAGGAAAGAAACGUCAUGGGUUAAUACCCCGUGAAACUGACGGUACCUGCAGAAUAAGCACCGGCUAACUACGUGCCAGCAGCCGCGGUAAUACGUAGGGUGCAAGCGUUAAUCGGAAUUACUGGGCGUAAAGCGUGCGCAGGCGGUUCGGAAAGAAAGAUGUGAAAUCCCAGAGCUCAACUUUGGAACUGCAUUUUUAGCUACCGGACUAGGGUGGGUCAGAGGGAGGUGGAAUUCCGCGUGGAGCAGUGAAAUGCGUAGAUAUGCGGAGGAACACCGGUGGCGAAGGCAGCCUCCUGGGAUAACACUGACGCUCAUGCACGAAAGCGUGGGGAGCAAACAGG
rnacentral:rRNA from 1 species